rnacentral:lncRNA from 1 species
AGAGAGAAACCGAGAAAAAAGAGUGUUUUCGGGUAGUUUUUAGUUAGCGUUUUUGGGGAGAUAGCUAGGGGUGCUGGAUAGUCUUUGUAGCCAGUAGCCAAGGUGGGUUUCCUGUGUGUUUCUUGUGUGUGUGUUUUGUAUGCAGGUUCGAGCUUGACCAACGAGUCUUAAACGGAGACUCGGGGCAUAGUUAAUCGAUUUUCUGCAGGGCCCCAGGGAAAGUGUGUGCUGCUUGCAUACAUGUUGUGUGAUUGAUUGUUUGUUUGUUUAGUUGUCACUCGCUUAGUUAUUAGUUUUAGUCUAGACUUAGGUGCAUCGAGGUUUGAGGUUGAGCUCCCUCAUGCUAAGUAGUGUUUGUGUGUGUGUUUGUCUAGACUAGGGCGAGUGAUUGUUAUGCUUUGAGUCUAGAUGUGCGUGGAGGUUAGAGGUGGAGGUCCCUCACGCUUUUUUCUUGUUUGUGUGGCAUCUAGACUAAAGCAUGGGCCAUCUCGGGUUAGAUUAGGGAAAGCCUAAUUCUCCGAAGGUGUUCGAGACCAUGGAGUUAGAUUGGGCGAUACCCAAUUCUCUAGUGGUGGAGUGACCUACUCUCCAUGGCUUGUCACGUGAAGUGGGUCGCGCCCAUGGACAAGCGCUGCAUGACGAUGCGGCCCGGGUUAGAUUGGGAGAAGCCUAAUUUCCGGAGAUGAUGUUUUCCGACCAUGUGACUGUUGUGUUUGUGAUCGGGAGUGUUCAGUAUGGAGAUGUGUUAGGGCUCUGAUGUGUUGGGAUCCCAGGAUGUGUGUCAUCCGAAUUUUUGUUUGUGUAGAUCGAGUCUAGGAUCGAGUCUAGCUUUCUUUUUGUGUAGUUAGGCCUCGGUGGUGAGACCAUUUGUUUGUUUAGUAAUUGCUUGUUUGCUUGCUUGCUUGCUUGUUUGUUUGUUGCUUCUGCUGUGUUGAUUACUAACCAAUUGUUGAUUGUGUUUGGGGCAUGGGCUGAAGGGGGUCGUUGUUGUUUAUUUUUGGGAACUCACUGAGUAAUUCCGAUUACUCAUCCCCUCUUCUACUAUGCAGGUAACCCGUAGGUAGGAAGCUUAGGGCGCAGCGGAAUGGGAAGCGACCGGUGUAGAUUGGAAGUGGCAUAAGCAUAAGCGGACUAUCUUUUGGAAUUUAUAAUUACUUUCUUUUCAUUUUGGCACUAGGCCGUGAGCUCAAACUCUGAUAUUUUGUAUUGUAAUGUUUUGUAAAACGCUUUCUACCUAUUAUUAAUAAAAUGUAUGUUUAUAUUCGUAGUUGUGUGUUAAAUGAUACUAGACCUUGUCCGGGUCGACACAACUCGAUGAUUGUGGUACGGGUUGUGAAGCCUUAGGCCAUGACAUCGAGGUCAUAGCAAACUGGAACGGAUUGGUCGAGAGUCUUGACUUGUUCUUGAUUCUUGGUCGAACCGGUACUGUGAGCUAUACUUGUGGCGCUCCCGGGACGUACCGGGUUAGUCCGGCCUGGUACGGUCCGGGGGUGUUACAAAAAUGGUGGUAUCAGAGCGUGUUUCCGAUCAUGCUCAUAAACCGCAACAUUUUUCAAAUGUUUUUAUCGAGUCAAAAUGAGUCGCUUAUGCCACAUUAGGAAACCGGUCCGUUCCGCUUAGAGUUUUUAGGGAGUAGCUUUAGGAUUAGUUCCUUAGGAAUUUUUCUUUCUUUAGGAUCAACCCUUGAAACCGUGCAGAUGUCUAAUCAAGGAUCAGGAGCAAGCGGGUCGUUCGGAACGUCGGGUCAGGAUGGGUCGAGGUACGCAAACUACCACAACUUCUGGGAUGCUCCGAAUUCAGCAAACCAGACUGGCGACAGUGGACCAAGGUCUAUGCCAGGCGUUGAACGUGCUCACAGUGAGGAGAACGUAUCUCCUGUAGCGUGGCAAAUAUCAGUAUCACCACCCAAUUCUCAGCAUGCGGAAUCAGAACCAUUCGUUGGACCACAGAGACCCCAUUCAUCUCAUGCAGACUCGGAAGGAUCUACAUCAAUUAGAAUCAACUCAAGACCAGCAGAGCCGGCUACACCUACGCCAGCACCUGCACCAGCUCCAGCAGAAGGAAGUAGACCAGCAGAUCCAACCUUAUCUAUGGUACAUAACCUUUUGUCUAAAGUCUUAACCAACAAAGUUACCCCAAGUCCAGAAGCAAAUCAACCCGAAACUCGACAACCAGACUUCCUGAAGUAUGUUCUUACGAUGAAGAACAUGGGUACCUAUAAGUUCGAAGGAGAAGCCGACACCCUCAAAGCAGAUACAUGGCUACGACGUGUAGAGAAGAACUUCUCAACCACCAGGUGUCCAGACGAGUACAAGAAAGACGUAGCUGUGCAUUACUUGGAGAAAGACGCAAUGUCUUGAUGGGAGAGUAGGGAGAGUAUCACCCGAAGACAAGGAGUAGAAGACAUGGAUUGGGAUGCAUUCAAGCAGGAAUUUCAGAGGAAGUAUUUUCCUCCAGAAGCAAGAGACAGAAUGGAGCAAGCUUUUCUACGAUUGGAGCAAGGUGAAAGGAGUGUUAGGGAGUACGAAUCAGAAUUUCUCAAGCUCAGUCGAUACAUCCACUACAAGGACGGAGAUGAAGCGGUGUUAAUUCGUAAGUUCUUACGAGGUCUUAAGCCAGAGAUCGGGAGUCGUCUACAAGCCGUCAACUUUGUGAGUUUGUUUGAGUUAAUAGAGAAAGCAGUCAACGUGGAGGAGAUGGUAGCAGCUGAACGUGAACCAACCGUUGGAUCAAACCCCAAACCUCAGAGCAGUCAGUCCAAGGAUGAUAAGUUGCGAACCAACCAGAAGAAAGGAAGAAAGGGUCAGUUCAAACGACAUGGAAAGAAGCAGAAGGCACAAGUGACGUGCUACAAUUGUGGUCAGUUGGGACAUUACUCUCGUGAAUGCACCAACUCAAUGGCUGAGAAGACGGAUUGGAAGGCAUCGGUUACUUGCUACAGCUGUGGAGAGAGAGGUCAUUUCGCCAACGAGUGUACUGUGAACCGUCCAGGACAGGGAAGAGGAUCGUCUGCGCGUACCCAACCAAACCGACCGACCAGAGAACACCCAGCCGGGCGUCCUGCAUCCGAAGGGAGAGUCUAUGCCUUGGAGAUGGAGGAAACUCCAUCUAGUGCUCCGGGACCGUCGAGAGGUCCUGUGACAGGUUUGUUUGGGUGCUAACUCUCUUUUGCGUGUUUAUUUCUGUGUAGAGUAGUUAGUAGUUUGUAGUUUGUUGUGUUAGCAUUCUGGAUGAAUGCUAGUGUGUUGAUCUUUGUUAGGAUCAUUGUUGGUUGGUGGAACCCCUGCUGUUGUUUUGUUUGAUUCGGGAGCCACCCAUAGUUUUGUGAACCCAGUAGUAGCCUCUAGAUUUGUAGGAACCCUUGUGACCCGUGAUAUUGAUAUCUCAGUGUUAACCCCUGGAGGCCAAACCUUGAAAGCCAAAAAGGUGUUGUUGGAUGUGCCUAUUGUGCUUUUGCACGCAACCCUUUUAGCCAACCUAGUGGUCAUGCCCUUAGAAGGUUUCGAGGUUAUUUUAGGAAUGGAUUGGCUGUCAAGGCAUCGGGCGUGGCUGGACUGUGCAAGAGGAAGAGUUUUCUUUGAAGACGACCAUCGAGGAGUAUUGGCGUAUUAUGGGAUCAAGCCUAGCAUCUCAGCAACGUUCGUCACAGCAAUGAGAGCAGAGAGAGCCUUAGUGGACGGCGAGGUCUACUUGGUAUCGCUUACGUACAUCGGAGAGGAGACAGGAAAGGAAUUGAGAAUGGAAGACAUUCCAGUGGUCCAAGAGUUUGAAGACGUGUUUCGGGCGUUAACGGAGUUACCACCACCUCGGAGUAACCCGUUCACCAUCAACUUGGAACUGAGCGCUGCACCUAUCGCCAAGGCACCUUACCGCAUGGCACCAGCAGAGUUAGCAGAGCUCAAGAAGCAGUUGGAGGAUUUACUAGACAAAGGUUUCAUCAGACCGAGUUCUUCACCUUGGGGAGCUCCGGUUUUGUUUGUGAAGAAGAAGGAUGGCAGCAUGAGAUUGUGCAUCGACUACAGAGGAAUCAACAAUGUCACGAUCAAGGAUAAGUACCCUUUACCUAGGAUCGAUGAAUUGUUGGAUCAACUAAGAGGAGCGAGUUGGUUCUCGAAGAUAGAUUUGGCUUCGGGAUAUCACCAAAUUCCGAUAGCAGAGAACGACGUAAUGAAGACAGCAUUCAACACUCGGUACGGCCAGUUCGAGUUCGUUGUAAUGCCAUUCGGGUUAACCAACGCACCAGCAGUAUUCAUGAGGAUGAUGAAUGAAGUAUUUCACGACUACCUCGACAAGUUCGUGAUUGUGUUCAUCGACGACAUACUCAUCUACUCACGGAGCGAGGAGGAGCACAAGGAGCAUCUGAGGAUGGUACUUGAGAGACUAAGAGACCGGAAGUUGUUUGCUAAGCUCAGCAAGUGUCGAUUCUGGAAGCGCGAGAUUUGUUUCUUAGGUCAUAGAGUUUCCAAGCAAGGAGUUUCGGUGGAUCCAGAGAAGAUUGAAGUCAUCCAGAAGUGGCCUUGUCCAACCUCAGUAACGGAGAUCAGAAGUUUCCUCGGAUUGGCAGGCUAUUACCGAAAAUUCGUGCAAGCUUUCUCAUCAAUUGCGAAACCUUUGACACGAUUGACGGGAAAGGAAGUCCCAUUUCUUUGGGAUGAGCAUACGGAGAGAGCUUUCAACAAGCUCAAGGAGGCAUUGACUACGGCACCAGUUCUUGCCUUACCCCAGCCGGGUAAGCCAUAUGUUGUGUAUACUGACGCAUCGCGGGUAGGAUUAGGGUGUGUGUAAAUGCAAGAAUACAGAGUCAUUGCAUACGCCUCAAGACAGUUGAAGAAGCACGAGGAGAACUACCCCACACACGAUCUGGAGAUGGCGGCCGUUGUUUUUGCAUUAAAGAUAUGGCGCUCGUAUCUUUAUGGAGAAAGCGUUCAGGUAUUUACGGAUCACAAAAGCCUUAAAUACUUGUUCACUCAGGCGGAUCUGAAUUUGCGACAAAGACGGUGGAUGGAAUUCAUUGCGGACUACGACGUUCAGAUUCAGUAUCACCCAGGAAAAGCAAACGUGGUAGCGGAUGCAUUGAGUCGACGAAGAGCUGUAGUAGACUCAGAGCGAGAUUUGGAGAAGUUAUCAGACGAAUUCAAGAAGGUAACUUUAGCUGCACUGGAAGGAGAAUCUAGUGAACCAUUGGGAAUGCAAGCCGUGAACCAAGCCAGUUUGAUACAACGUAUUCGAGGAGCGCAGCGGCAAGACGAGAACCUGAAGAUCAUCAUGGAGCAGCUACGAGAGCAAGGAGGGCCAAAUGCUAGUGGAUAUCAGAUGGCAGAAGACGGAACAUUGCUACUCAACGGAAGAAUCACUGUGCCAAAGGAGGGAGGAUUCAAGGAGGAAAUUCUCAAGUUAGCGCAUCAGUCACUUUUGAGUAUACAUCCUGGAAGCACCAAGAUGUAUAGAGAUAUGAGGAGAUAUUACCAUUGGCCAGGAAUGAAGAAGUCAGUAGCAAGAUGGGUAGCGCAGUGUCAAGUUUGCCAGCAAAUCAAAGCCGAACACCAAGUGCCAGGAGGGUUACUUCAAAGCUUACCUAUUCCCGAGUGGAAGUGGGAUUCAGUGUCCAUGGAUCUAAUCACAGGAUUACCAGUGGCCAGAGGAAGAUCAAACAAUGCAAUUUGGGUUAUCAUGGAUCGGCUGACAAAGGAGCACAUUUGUUAGCAAUCAGAGACACAGACAAGACGGAGACAAUGGCGGAACUUUACAUCAAUCAGAUUGUGAAGCUACACGGAGUACCAGCAAACAUUGUCUCAGAUCGAGAUCCAAGAUUUACAGCAGCAUUCUGGAGAGCAUUGCAAGGAGCGUUGGGUACGGAGUUGCACAUCAGUACUGCAUUUCACCCAGAAACGGACGGGCAGACGGAGAGGACCAUCCGGACAAUAGAGGAUAUGCUACGUUUGUGUAUUCUCGAUUGGUCAGGUACGUGGGAGAACUAUCUACCUUUGAUAGAAUUUUCCUACAACAAUAGUUUCCACGCCAGCAUUGCAAUGUCACCAUACGAGGCAUUGUACGGAAGACCCUGUCGAACACCUCUAUGUUGGACGGAAGUUGGAGAACGAAGAUUAUUCGGACCAGGAGUCAUUGAAGAAACGUUGGAGAAGCUGCAAGUCAUCCGAGCAAACAUGAAGAAGGCACAUGAUCGACUGAAGAAGUACGCGGAUCAAAGAAGGCGAGAAGUAGUAUUUGCAGUUGGAGAUAUGGUCUAUCUCAAGGUAUCAGCUCAGAAAGGAAAGGAUCGUUUCGGCAAAGUCGGGAAGUUAGCAGUUCGUUUCAUUGGUCCAUACCGGAUCAUUGGAAGAGUAGGAGAAGUAGCUUACAGGCUAGAGCUGCCAGAAGACAUGAAUUUACACCCUGUAUUUCAUGUAUCUAUGCUGAGAAGGCACAUUCGAGAUCCUGAUUCUAUCGAGCCUGAGAGAAUCCCAGAGCUUAGGACAAAUCUCACAUAUCCAGAAGGGCUGAUACGCAUCGGGGAACGACGUUUGAAGAAGCUGAAGAAUAGGGAGAUUCCUCAAAUCCAAGUCUUUUGGGGAAGACAAAACCGCUUGGUGAUAACAUGGGAAGAUGAAGACAGAUUUCGUCAGAACUAUCCAGAGUUCUUCGAAGAUGAAGCGGCGACGUCAUCAGCACCUUAGAAUUCGGGGACGAAUUCUAAUGAGUGGGGGAGAAUGUAAUGACCCUGCUCAUAAGUAGAAAAGUCAAAGACCUUGACCUUAGUCGUGGUCGAAACGAGGAACGGUCAUGGUCGAAAGACAGUUUUCUGCCAGUACGAGAAAAUCGAUAAAAACCGAGCAAGAGGAGAUCGACGUUUUGAAACCGAAGAAGGAGAAGCAUUGUCUAAGUAAAUCAAGAAAUGAGUUUUCUCAUUUGAAGAAGAGAUUUAGAAGUUGUUGACAUGGCGAAGAAAGUGAAGACGCGAUGACAUGGCGACCACCGAUUGGAUUCGGAGGAGUGACGGAGCGAUACGCGUGGCAAACUCUCAUUGGCUGGAAGAAGACUUGGCGACCAAGUUACGAAGCUUCUAGAAGACAAGACUUGGCGACCAAGCAACGGUAAAACUUGGGGAGAAAGGUAAAAACCUUCCGGAAGCAAGGUUACUUGCCACGGAAGUUUCGUAGUGGGACAUGUGUCCAUUUUUCCUCAUGCAUGUGUGCCAUUUGUCCAGCCCAGCCUCAGUCCUCCAUUUCUAUAAAUACCAGACCCCUCCCUUUCAUUUUUCUCAUUCAAAACCGUAAGAGCUUACCUUAGAGAGAGAGUGGUGAGUUAGAGAGAGAAACCGAGAAAAAAGAGUGUUUUCGGGUAGUUUUUAGUUAGCGUUUUUGGGGAGAUAGCUAGGGGUGCUGGAUAGUCUUUGUAGCCAGUAGCCAAGGUGGGUUUCCUGUGUGUUUCUUGUGUGUGUGUUUUGUAUGCAGGUUCGAGCUUGACCAACGGGUCUUAAACGGAGACUCGGGGCAUAGUUAAUCGAUUUUCUGCAGGGCCCCGGGGAAAGUGUGUGCGCCUGCAUACAUGUUGUGUGAUUGAUUGUUUGUUUGUUUAGUUGUCACUCGCUUAGUUAUUAGUUUUAGUCUAGACUUAGGUGCAUCGAGGUUUGAGGUUGAGCUCCCUCAUGCUAAGUAGUGUUUGUGUGUGUGUUUGUC